AGACUGUCAUGGUGGGGAGGGCAGGGUAGGAGCAGGGUCAGGAGGCAGCUGGUCACAAGCACCCACAGUCAGGAUACAGAGAGAUGGGGGCUGGGCUCAGCUCUCUUUCUCCUUUUCAUUCAGUCCGUGGCUCCGGCCCUUGGCACGGUGCUGCCUACAUUCAGGGAGGAUUUUGUUUGCUAAGUUAAAUCUCUCUGGAGCUGUGUCUCCUCUGUGAUUCUGAAUCCAGCCAUGUUGACAAUGAAGAUGAACAUCCCACACUCCAUCUUGGACGUUUCCUGGAAAGACAUCAAUGCCCGGCCCGACAUGUGCGUUUUUUGAACAUCACUUUUCCGUCUUUCCUGCUGUCGGUACUCGGGUUAGCUUGGCUGCCAUGCUGACCCUUUGAUCAGAGCCUGCCACUCCUGCUCCCGGCUAGCUGCUUCAAACCCUGAGGCAGAGUUUCCGUGUUACCACCUAGAAGCUGCUGCAGCUUCACCUCAUGGGUGAAGGGUCCGACUCCUCUUCCUCCUGGACGCCCUCCAAGCUGCCUGGGUCAUGAUGAGCUCCCUGAACCUCUGGGGUGACUCCUGCUGCUGCAGCUAAUUGUGUUUGGUUCUGUCCUCCAGUAGAGCUGAGCAGAAGCAAGGAAAUCAAAUCAAAUCAAGAUGACAUUUAUUUAAUGUGGGCUAACCGUCAGGCGCCCCACUGGGGGCGUUGGCACCUCACUCUAAUUUGCUUCUCACCGAGCAGCCCCGCAAAUGGAAUAACCGGACUCACACUUUUUUGUGCACAUAAAGAAACCAAAACAAGACAGACAGCAUCCCAAGAACAAUGUCACACACAAAGAGGAAGGAACAGAGACCUCAUGACAUUCCAGUGUCCUAGCUGUGGUCACGAAUGGCCGAAUUUGACAGAUAAGAGGG
rnacentral:lncRNA from 1 species